GGGUUGUGAGGUUAAGCGACUAAGCGUACACGGUGGAUGCCCUGGCAGUCAGAGGCGAUGAAGGACGUGCUAAUCUGCGAUAAGCGCCGGUAAGGUGAUAUGAACCGUUAUAACCGGCGAUUUCCGAAUGGGGAAACCCAGUGUGAUUCGUCACACUAUCAUUAACUGAAUCCAUAGGUUAAUGAGGCGAACCGGGGGAACUGAAACAUCUAAGUACCCCGAGGAAAAGAAAUCAACCGAGAUUCCCCCAGUAGCGGCGAGCGAACGGGGAGGAGCCCAGAGCCUGAAUCAGCAUGUGUGUUAGUGGAAGCGUCUGGAAAGGUGCGCGAUACAGGGUGACAGCCCCGUACACAAAAGCGCAUGUGCUGUGAGCUCGAUGAGUAGGGCGGGACACGUGGUAUCCUGUCUGAAUAUGGGGGGACCAUCCUCCAAGGCUAAAUACUCCUGACUGACCGAUAGUGAACCAGUACCGUGAGGGAAAGGCGAAAAGAACCCCGGCGAGGGGAGUGAAAAAGAACCUGAAACCGUGUACGUACAAGCAGUGGGAGCACAGGUUUACCUGUGUGACUGCGUACCUUUUGUAUAAUGGGUCAGCGACUUAUAUUCUGUAGCAAGGUUAACCGUAUAGGGGAGCCGUAGGGAAACCGAGUCUUAACCGGGCGUUAAGUUGCAGGGUAU
rnacentral:rRNA from 1 species